AUGAGCGAGCACGUGGGAACAGGGGAGAGCGCGAGUGCGCGUGUGCACGUGCAGCAGCAAAACAUGCGCAACAAAAACUUCAGAGAUCGCCGGAGCACUGCGAGCGCGGCGAAGACAUGGAUCGUGCGAGUGCUACGGGGUUCGACAUGCCAUGGAAAGAAAGUGAGCAGGAGGUGCAUUACCCAGCUCACCCUAGGACACGAAGAGGUUGAUGGAUACGCGCCGGAGGCGACCGGAGCGAGCUCUGAACUUGGUGAAGAUGUUGUCCGGGAAGAAGAGGAAGAAGACAGCAUCGUGGAGGUCGAACCCGAGGCCGUGUGGUCGCGUGCGUGGAUGUAG
rnacentral:rRNA from 1 species